rnacentral:pre_miRNA from 1 species
UCGCUGAUGUUGGACAAAAGUGAUUAUUUAGAUCGCGAUGACAGCUUUAAAGAUA